AGUAGGAUGGAGGUGAAGCUGGCCUUGUGGAUCACUUGGGCCUCAUGAGGGGAAAAGAAAGACCAGGGGGCAGAGGAGGAGCAUGGGGGCAGCUGGUGGCCUAAGGAGAAGGCACUUCAGGGAAGGGGUCUGUGUUAGUUUGUUUUCACAUUGCUAUAAAGAAAUACCUGAGACUGGAUAAUUUAUAAAGGAAAGAGGCUUAACUGACUCGCAGUUCAGGAAACUUACAAUCAUGGCGGAAGGUGAAGGGGAAGCAGGCAUCUUCUUCACAAGGUGGCAGGAGGGAGUAAGUGGAGAACAAGGAAGUGCCACACUUUAAAACCAUCAGCUUUCCUGAGAAUUCACUCACUAUCAGGGGAGCAGCACGGGAGGAAACUGUCCCCAAAUCCAAUCCCCUCCCACCAGGUUCCUCCCUUGACACAGGAGGAUUACAAUUCCAGAUGAGAUUUGAGUGGGGACACAGAGCCAAACCUGUGAGGGUCUCAGUCUGUCUUGCAGCUCCCCUGGGGCUGAGGCUGAGUGCAAAUCUGCUGGCCCUGCUCUACAGCACGCAGGGUCU
rnacentral:lncRNA from 1 species